ensembl:lncRNA
GUAAUAUUUAAUUUGAUUCCUAAUGUUUUAUUAAUCAAAGACAUUUAUCACUGCCUGUCAGAGCUGAUUCAGCAGGAGAUAACCAGAGUAUCCGCAGUGAGUUGACACAACACCAGCCAAAAGAACAGACUUUUAACAUUUUAACCUGUGUACUCAUAGUCUGAGCCAAAAUUCCAAUACUGAUAACACUUGUUGUAAUAGUGAAAAUAUCUGUUUUACCUCUAAUUAGUAAUUAAAACAUUAGCUUUUUCUAUAUAUAAAACCUUUAAAAUCUUAUUUAUUUAUUCAUUCUUUCAUUACAUAUUUUCCACCACUACCCAGGAAGCCUAGGCCUCUUUGAGAACUCUACCCUUAGGCAAGGUAGUUCCUUUAAGGAGACCUUCAAAGCUUCAUCAUCACCUUGGAGGCUCUUCAUUGGGAGCUUGUGUGGGAGGAGGCCAUCAGGUGAAAGUUGUUAGCAUACAGCUUUAAGUAGCCCUACCAGGACGCCAACUCAAGCGAGCUCAGCCGUUAAUCCCGCUGAAAUUUACUGCUGCGUGGACAGAGGAGGUGCACAUGCCCAACGUCAGGAAAGCAGCAUUAUGUAAAGGAAGAAAGCAAGGCAAGGGAUCCCAUUUGGCAGGUCUCCUGACACCUACAGGACACCGAAGCCAGGCCCUUCAACAGACGGCGGCGAGGCAGAGCACAGGCUCUAGGGACCCUGGCUUCUUUCAGUUGUUUGGCUCUAAGGAAAGUAACUCAGAAGCUGUGGCAUGUGGAAUCUUCAUGGAAGGAAAGUGACUCAGUAGCUGUGGCAUGUGGAAUCUUCAUGGAAGGAAAGUGACUCAGUAGCUGUGGCAUGUGGAAUCUUCAUGGACCAGGGAUCAAACCUGUGUCCCCUGAGUUGGCAGGAGGAGUUUUAUCUACUUCUCCAAGAUGUCCUAUUCUGGGGAUCAUCCUCACCCAGGGAUCAAACGCAUAUCACCUGUAUUGACUCAUUCCACUGAGCCACCGGGGAAGCUCCGAAUAAAGUGUCUUGUCUGUAAAUUUUAUCAUCUCCAUCAUUUCUGUUUUUAAUGAUCAUUUAAAACACUUUUUGGUUGACAUUUUUUACAUAUCAUCAUGCUUCACAAAUUUUAUGUGGAUCUUGGAUGUUGUGAAUGUUAUAUUCAUGAGUAUCUGAAUUUUGCUGUUUUCCUUUAAAGAAUUACUGUCUGAACCACCAGGGAAGGAAUUAUGAGCUUUAUUAUGACAGUAUUAAUUCACUCAUCUAUCAGCUUUAGUUUGUUGAGAUUUGUCUAGGCAUUUUUUAAGAGUACCAAUUACUUUAGAAACUAUUUAGCCCUACUACUCAGUUCAGUUCAGUUCAGUCAUAGCAAACACCCUCUUCCAACAACACAAGAGAAGACUCUACACAUGGACAUCACCAGAUGGUCAACACCAAAAUCAGAUUGAUUAUAUUUUCUGCAGACAAAGAUGGAGAAGCUCUAUACAGUCAGCAAAAACAAGACCAGGAGCUGACUGUGGCUCAGAUCAUGAACUCCUUAUUGCCAAAUUCAGACUUAAAUUCAAGAAAGUAGGGAAAACCACUAGACCAUUGAGGUAUGACCUAAAUCAAAUCCCUUAUGAUUAUACAGUGGAAGUGAGAAAUAGAUUUAAUGGCCUAGAUCUGAUAGAUAGAGUGCCUGAUGAACUAUGGAAUGAGGUUCGUAACACUGUACAGGAGACAGGGAUCAAGACCAUCCCCAUGGAAAAGAAAUGCUAAAGAGUAAAAUGGCUGUCUGGGGAGGCCUUACAAAUAGCUGUGAAAAGGAGAGAAAUGAAAAGCAAAGGAGAAAAGGAAAGAUACAAGCAUCUGAAU